GAGUACUUAUUCUAAAAAGAUAGCUAAUUUCGACUUAGCCAAUUUUGGUUAAAUUCCAAAAGUACUUU
rnacentral:tRNA from 1 species